CGGAGUGCCCGCCCCCCCCGGCGGACCGACCAAUGGGAGCGCGGAGGAAAAGGGGCGGCCGCGGAGCUGGAGCCGCCAUGAUGGCACCAGCGGGAUGGUGGAGCUGUGGGGUUCUGUGCGAGGAAAGCGGUGCUUCGUCGCCCUACGUCCCCGCCGCCGCCUGCCCUGUGCCUCGGGUGUCGCCGGGCGGUCAGGGGAAGUCGGCGCAGGGGCACCUGCUGGCCCUAUUCGUCCCUCGUCAGAAUCCAGCCAUCCUCCGGAGGGGGUACCGAGCUGUCCUCCGUCGUUGCAGCGGGGCACUGCUGGGCUGUGAGAAGCGGCGGCUGACCACGAGCAGCGGAACCCUCCCAGUCUCCGGCAGCAGCUCCUGGCUGAGCCGGGCAGCCCUGAAAGAGAAGGACUGAUCCCACGGGUCGAGACGUGUUCAAGCCUGGCAGAGGUUCAGGCGAGCGCCUUCGGUUCUUGCUUGGCUCAAAUCAGCAGCAGCGAGUGCUGAGUUCCUGCCCCGCAGGUGGAGUCCUCAACUGCUGUUUUCCGUAUCCCUUUCUGUCCCCGUGCUGAGCUCCCGGAGCUUCAUGAAGCCUACACGGAGCCACUUCAUGUUGGCCCCAAAGAGGGAAGCUGUUGGAAAUAUCCAAAUAAUUUAUCAGGACGGUACCUCUGAUAAAGCAGAUUUUAUUCGCAAUUGCAAUGGCAGGCCUCCUGCAAGCAGGAGAGCACACAGAAAACAGCAUUACAUCUUUUACGCUCUAUUACUCGAUGCUUAUCUCUUUCUUCCCUGGUUCCUCAUUGGCUGAGUACUCCAGGUUCACAAUCUUCCCGAUGCUCAUGAGGAUACUGGCUGAACAUAAAUUGUUGCUAGCUAAGCAUAUAUUGCUAUUUAAUUAACUUCUCACACUUGGUCACUCAAUACUAGAUCAUUAUUCUUGGACACCUGCUGUCCUUGGGUUGUUAUUUUGCUGAGGGCCUCUUGACAAAACAGGGUAGUCAACACUAUAUAGUCAACAAUAGUCAAAUACAAGAGUUACAAUUUCUGUACUUAUUAAUUAUUUCAUCUUAACUACUAAGCAUGCAUAAAUAUAGAAAGUUUACCUAAAGGACAAGUGAUGGAGUGAUGGGGAUUAUUCAAGACCCCCUUUUUACUGUAAUGAAAAGAAUCUCAAAAAGAAUUGUUAGUACCAAUAAAUGACACUAGAUGACAGCAGAGACCAUAAAAUACUAAUUUUGCUGGUCUUAAAUGCAGAAACAUUUCAUUCCCACAAAGCUGCAAGAGGGGAACGAUUGUUAGGAUGGCAACUGGUUGGGAAUAUGGUCAUUUAUCUGCUUAUUGCUCUGUAUGUUAAAUGAUUAAAUGUUUAGCAUUCAUUUUUCUACAUUUCUGCCUGCAGUUCAUUCUGCAGCUCCAAAGACCCCCCCAUGCCCACCUCUGGGUAAGGAUGGGGCAGCACAAAUGGCAGUGUCAUAGGACUGCAACCUCCAACCCUGUUCCUCCCCCCAGAAUCCCCUCCCCUCCUUAGCGCUGUGUGGGAAAUGGUUGGGGUGGGAUUCUGGGACUGCUGGGGCAGCUCAGUCUGCAGAAGAGGAGGCUCAGGGGUAUCCCAGGCAUGGCCAUCAGUCCCUGCAGGGAGGUGCAGAGAGGACGGAGCCAGGCUGCACCCAGUGGUGCCCAGCAGCAGGACCAGAGGCACUGGGCACACACUGCAGCACAACAGGUUUCCCUUUAUGUCACCCCUGAGCCCCCAUAUUGGGUCAAUGUCAUUGGAUAUUUUUGCCAGUGAUCACGAUGCAGGACAUGAAUGCAUCCUUGUGAAAUCCACCGAGCAUCCUAAGGCAUGAGGUACUACUGGCACUCCUGAGGUUUUUAAGGGGCAGCAGGGAGGGCUCAGGGCAGUAGCUGGGGGCUCUUGAAGGGACUUUGAGGUGCUGUGGGUUCAGAAUUGUUUUUUCCUCCCGUUUCACACAUAAGGUGGCAGUUUGGCUCAGUACCUCGAGGUGGCAGCAGGACCCCCAGCAACAGAUAAGUCCGCUGCCCAGAGCCCCGUGUAUGGCUGUGAGAAUGAUGGAGGGUGUAAUAAAUGUAGCACAUGCACAGGGCUUAUGAUUACUGUGACACAGGGAUGACAUAUUCAUAUAUCCUUUCUAUUAUAUUGCCAGAUAGUAUUUCAGUGUUAAAGAGAUACGAAUCAUCGGAGAGUAUUCCGUUGUAGUUCAAGCCUAACAGGGGACCAUCCUGUAACAAAAUACAGAGUGAGCCUUAAACGUUGUCAUUCAAUUUAGUUCCCUAAAGCAAAGCAAAGCAAAACAAACACAAAAACACAACAGCUCAUCUCCUCCCCCUAAGAUAUUGAGUGAAAGUCUCCCACCUGCCUCCUUUCACAAAUUGCAUGGCGGUUUUAUGGAAAACAAUUGGUUAAAUUGCAAACUAAACUAAACUCCUAUUUUCUAUAAUUAUGAGACGUAUUGUGAGUCCAGAAAGAAAAUCCCUACUGCAGAGACACACAAAACCAUGAGCAUUUCCAAAAGAGGGCACCAGAUACACGCUUUUAAACUGCAUUUCUACUGCUUUCUUGAGCCUAUUUCGUCCUGCUUUCCAGGCAAUUUCCUCCACAACAGAUACGGACCACCCUAAAUGGAAAGUACUCACAUUUUGGCUAUCGUAUGUCGUGCUUUUUGACACCAAAACCUGCCUUUUUUUUUUUUUUUUUGUGUGUGUGUGUGUGUGUGUGUGUGCUGGAAUAAUCUCCUUUUUAUUAAAAUUGGCUGUGUGAAAGGGAGUCAUCGAUAUUUCACCGUGUUAUUGCAUUCACACCCACAGCUGAGUAGCAUAGAUAUGGUUUUACUGUUGGGUUCCUGACUGCUCAGCCAGUUUUGUUCUUUGUUCUCCCUGGCUUCUCCUUGACUCAGAAGAGUCGUAGGCAAGUUAGAGGUUAGAGUUCCUUUUUUCCUGUACUGUAGGGCUUUGCCUCCAGUUUUGGCUUUGUUUAUAUCACAAGGUAUCAGAUAGCAAAUUAAGUUCAAGUCAGUGCAGCUGAUGCACUGGACAGCAGCAACAUUCCUUAUGGUGCUUAGUCUCUAGAGAUCACACCAUAUACUAGACCAAUCUAGGAGAAGUUACACUCUCCUGUGCAGAUCCUACAUAACUUUUCCACAACCCCUAAGGACUCUUGUAAGAGUUUGGAACUCAAGCCCAGCCUCUUCCAAAUGCUGAAAGAAAAAACAACAGCUGUUAAAUUUCCUUUACGUUUCUUGCAUCUUACAGUACAUAUGGUUUAGAAAACUCUGUGACAAGCUUAACAUGGAAUGGUCUUCCUAGCCUCAAGCAGCAGAAGUAACUUCUCCCAGCUAGGUAGGGAAUUAUCCAUUUUUCCUAUAUAAAAAAGACAAGAAUGUUUACAUGGUAACUGAAUGUUUACAAUCUGACAUCCACUGUAAAUCCACCAGGUUCAAACAGCAGUCAGAUAACAUAAAUGAGAAAGAAACAUGAAAGUACUCCUUUUUACUUCCCAGGCUUUAAUCUUCAUUAAAUCUUGUUCUGCUGUGGAGAACAGGUAGAAGCAAUUCACUUGCAUGGACAAGGGGUGCAGCCUGGUUCCGCCCCUCCCUAAACUCAUUUAAGGGCUGUCUGCUCCCAGGGAAGGAGCUCAGUUGGAUAUCUGCUCUUUUGUAUUGUUUUGUGUGUUCUCUUCCUCAGAAAGUAGUAAGUAGUUCUGUGGUUAUUUGCUAGGUUGAGACCUUUGUGUUUCUUGGGUAAUUUAAAGCUGUGAUUGCUAAUGUCUAUGUCUGCAGUUGCUGCCCCAUGGAGUCUCCUCCUGGUUGAUGAUGGCAGUUGGUAUCUAUGGGGUGAGAGGAGUCUGCGUAAAAGUGGUGGUACUUAGGAGGAAGACACUGUUUGUCUUUAUGCUUUAUGGGUACAAUCAGAUCAGAAAGCAUUGUGCUUUAUGGCAGUUUCCUUGGCCAAAGGAUGCUUUGGCAGUAGAGGUUUGCCGUCAGGAGGCAUUAAAGCACUGAAGAAAAUGCUGCUGUGCACUGGUCCCAGAGACAUCAGCUCACAGCAUGUCACUGAUGGUGGAUAUCUGUAAGCUUUGUGUCUGUCAGUGAUUGCUCUGAAGGCUUUGUAGUCAGCUGUCCAUGGCUGUCUUGCUUUUUAGGGUGUAGGAACAUCCAGUGAUGAUUGGAGUGAUGGUGUCCUACUUGGAAAUGGAGGUGCUGGAUGGCAGAAGAGGAUUCUUGGCCAAAUAUGGAAUCAUCUCUGUUCCUUCAUGAGGGUUACCGGUCUAUAAUGAUUUCUUGCUGUGGAAUUAUGUUCAUAUACAACCAAAUAAGGGCACUGAUAGAGGCACCUGCCUGGUGGCUUUAUUCAGUGUUGUAUAAUUUGAAUUUUAAGACUUUUGAACCGGUUUACAGGCUUCCCUCUCUGUAGCACAUUUUUCAAAUACCGAGUUAGUGCUCAUACUUGUGUGCAUGUUAUCAAUAUCCUUGAAAGUAUUCCUCUUCAUUCAUGCUAAGUGGAAGAAGUCUCCAAGACCAGAGAAUGAUGACUGGCAAGGAAUAUGGAAAGGUUUAGGAAAAAUCUUAGAAGCAUGGGGACCUGCCAUCCUAUGGGAUUUCACUCUUGAACAUGUGUGGGAUCCUGAGAAACUGAGCCAGCAUUUGAUUCAGUGAUAGUGCGGCUUAGAUAGAUCAAAGGAAGUACGGCUUAUUUGGGGCUUGGCUUGUGCCUACCGUGCUCUGUAUAGUACUAUUCUGGAGAGAGAGAGUUUCCA
ensembl:lncRNA